UAAGGAACUGCUCAGGAGAGCAUCCUGGUUCAUUGAUGAGGGAAAGAAGAUUACAAAAGGGGAGCAGUCACUGCUCAGAAUUACAAUUUUCUACAGUUCAAAGGGUGAUGAGAAUGAAUUUGAAGUGCGUCAGCAUCUAGAGAAGAAUCAAUUUUCAAUGAUCCAACUACGUCUAAUAGCGAAUAAGAGUCACUUAUGAGCGACUAAAAGUCGUCAUCAAACAAAGUUGGCCAAAAGCACAGGGGUGGAUGACAACGAAGUCCUUCAAAUCAAUGUAGAAAUAAAGUUAGAGAAUAGAAAAAUUUAGAGAAAGUGGAUGUAGAAAUAAAGUUAAGAGAAUAGAAAAUUUUAGAGAGUGGGAAUAAGGGAUGAACAAGGAAAUGGAGUCUUUAGUAUUGAAAACCAAGAAAUGAUUGGACUUAGUGACCACAAGGAACUUGUCAUUGACCUUUACUUACAAGUGAAAGGUAUUAGGUUUGAAUUUCGUAGAUGACAAAUUUGAUAUCACAUUAGGUUGUUAUUUAUGUGGCUUAACCGAGCAUUCUCUUCCCUUAGUGUAAAAUAUACCGUUGUCCAAAAAAAACAAAUACGAAAAAUCAAACAGAGGAUAGGGGUUUUGUGGGUGUGGCAGUGGGUCUUCGCUAGGGUUUUUCUUCGCAGACCCUAACAGAGAGAAAAAUCAUGUUGAAAGAAACUUUUCCAUUCAGAUUUUUCUUUUUUUCUUAAGAUAAUUAAAAUCAUUUUACUAUAUUAUUCUUUGUUUGUCCAAAUAUAAUUAGUUUUUCUAAAUUCAACAGAUUUUCAAAAUUUUUGUGACCAUAAUUAUAAUAUUUAAAUAUGGGUUAUUGGCCCAAAAAAAUAAUUCGGUUGACCAAAGUUUUUUAUGUUUUUAUUAUUGGCCAGUCUUGCUGUUUUAAGAACAACAUUAAGAAUAACUGAGGAUCUCAUUAUCAUGACCGUUCAUUGUACAUCGUGCAGUUAGAAAUCAUUUUAAAAUUAAAUAUAAAUAGUAUCUAACGAAAACUAAUCGCACGAUGUAUGAUGAACGAUUACGAUCACAGAAUCUCUAGGAUCCCUAGGAAAAAGAAUAUUGUUUUCCAAAAUCAAAUAUGUUCUGUGACUAAAUGAAAUGCAAAUUACUAUAUAGUAAUGCUGAAGUGAAAAAACACUGUUCAUUAACAGUGUUUUCAUGAAAACGCCCUUCGUUUUUUCUGUUUUUCUAUGCUUUUUCUAAUGUUGAACAGUAUGUUCAUAAAAUUGCCCUUAGUCACCUCUUGGCUGAGUGCUCACACGUGUUAAGGGGGGACAGGUGGAAUCUUUAUCAGCGUAGAAAUCGCAAUUCUCUUCGAUUUCUUUAUUUUACUUGCGAACUAACAAAUGUGCUUUCGUUUCAUUUUUAGAAUGAAAAUUUGAAUUUUGUGCGUGUUGAACAUUGCAGCUCGUAUACGUGGUCCAAAUGUAAGUUAUUUUGUUCCUCCCCUUUUCACGUCUUAUCAGUAACCUUAAAAUUCUCUGGGUUCACUGUGUUCUUCGUGGUUGAUACUUUUCAACUCUCUUUCCAUCUUUUCUUUUCCUUCCCAUCACGCCUUCUCUUUUUCUCCAUAGUGCUUGAAUUUUGUUAGAACCGGAUUUCAGUUUAGAUUCUAUAACCCUAUGUUAGUAAGUUUAGAUUCUAUAACUCCGCCUAUGUCUUACAUGGCCGGUCCCAAGCCCGGGUAAAGGAGGAGGGGGAGGGCGUCAGGUAGUCGACAGCCGGCACUCCAUGAUCACGUCGAAUCCUUAUGAAAAUGAAUCCAGAACAAAAUCGCGCUAAAGCUAGGGCGUCACCCGUAAGUGGCGCGCUGUGUGACCCAAGCACAGUGAUAAGUGAGCAAGGGUCGCUGUAUCUCCAUCGGCACCCGGAUGCAGUGUUAAAUGAGCAAGGGGGCCAUAGAAACUUCUUUUCGAACGACUCCACUCAAAGUUGUUUGGGAGCAUAUGCUCCUAUCAACUUUACCCGGGACACACAAAAGAAGUACUUUGAUCCUAUUAGACGGGGGAGGGUGAAGAAGCUAGGACAGAAGGGUAGAGUUCAAGAGAGCAAAAUGCGUUUAGGAACGUGGAAUAUAGGAACCUUAACGGGAAAAUCUAUGGAAGUAGUGGAAGUUAUGGUGAGGAGAAGGAUAAAUAUUAUGUGCCUACAAGAAACUAAGUGGGUUGGUAGUAAGGCAAAGGAUCUAGAAAACUCAGGGUUUAAACUUUGGUAUUCGGGCACACAUAGAACGAGAAACGGUGUUGGCAUCAUCGUGGACAAGACCUUGGUACAAGAUGUUGUAGAUGUCAAGAGGGUAGGAGAUAGAAUCAUGGCAAUCAAGAUUGUAAUAGGACAAGAACUUAUCAAUGUGAUUAGUGCGUACGCACCUCAAGUAGGGUUGGAUACGAGUUCGAAGGAGAAAUUUUGGGAAGAUCUUGGAGACUUGGUGCAAGGAAUUGCUCAGACGGAGAAGUUAUUUAUAGGAGGAGAUUUAAAUGGACACGUGGGCAGGGAGACAGGCAACUAUGGAGGUUUUCAUGGUGGCCAUGGUUUUGGGGAGAGAAACGAGGAUGGGGAAGCUAUCUUGGAUUUUGCAAUGGCAUAUGAUCUCUUCUUAGCCAACACCUUCUUUAAGAAGAGAGAAGAACAUGUGAUCACCUACAAGAGUGGGUCGUCAAAAACACAAAUAGAUUUUCUUCUAAUGAGGAAAGGGGAUCGUAUAACCUGUAAGGAUUGCAAAGUUAUACCAGGAGAGAGCGUGGCUAAUCAACAUCGCUUGUUGGUGAUGGAUGUACAUAUCAAAAGAGUAAGACAAAAAGAACAAGACUUGGAAGUGCCCAAGGACUAGAUGGUGGAAUCUAAAAGAAGAAAAACAAGCCAUUUUCAAAGAGAAGGUAAUCACCCAAUGUGUGUGGGAUAGAGAGGGGGAAGCUAGCCAAAUGUGGGAUUCCAUGGCUAGUUGUAUCCGAAAAGUAGCAAAAGAGGUAUUAGGAGAGUCCAAGGGCUUUGCCCCACACCAAAAGGAAUCUUGGUGGUGGAAUGAGGAGGUACAAACAAAGGUGACGGCUAAGAAGGAAUGUUGUAAAGCCUUAUACAAGGAGAGGACCGAUGAAAAUGGUGAAAGGUAUAGAAAAGCGAAGCAAGAGGCGAAGAAAGCUGUCAGAGAAGCUAAGUUAGCGGCUUACAACGAUAUAUAUAAACGACUAGAUACCAAAGAAGGAGAGUUGGAUAUCUAUAAACUAUCUAGAGCAAGGGAAAAGAAGACAAGGGACCUAAACCAAGUGAGGUGCAUCAAGGAUGAGGAUGGAAAGGUUCUUGCUACAGAGAACGCGGUUAAAGACAGAUGGAGAGGUUAUUUUCAUAAUCUCUUCAAUGCAGGACAUGAAAUGAGUGCUUCUUUAGGGGAGUUGAGUAACUCAGAAGAGUGUAGAAACUACUCUUUUUAUCGUCGAAUCCGGAAGGAAGAAGUGGUUGUAGCUUUGAAGAAGAUGAAGCAUAAAAAAGCAAUAGGCCCAGACGAUAUACCAAUCGAAGUGUGGAAACUUUUUGGGAGAGACAGGUAUAACAUGGCUCACUGACCUUUUCAAUAGGAUUUUGAAAACGAAGAAGAUGCCAAAUGAGUGGCGAACGAGCACUUUGGUGCCUAUCUACAAGAAUAAGGGCGACGUACAAAAUUGCAUGAACUAUAGGGGUAUUAAGCUAAUGAGUCAUACAAUGAAGCUCUGGGAGAGAGUCAUUGAGCAUAGAUUGAGGCAAGAGACACGGGUUUCGGACAACCAAUUCGGGUUCAUGCCAGGGCGCUCAACCAUGGAGGCAAUCUAUCUCUUACGAAGAUUGAUGGAAAGAUAUAGAGAUGGGAAAAAGGAUUUACACAUGGUCUUUAUAGAUUUGGAAAAAGCGUAUGAUAGGGUCCCAAGAGACAUUCUUUGGAGGAUUUUAGAGAAGAAAAGAGUACGAGUAGCAUAUAUCCAAGCUAUAAAGGAUAUGUAUGAAGGAGCAAAGACUGCCGUAAGAACUCAUGAAGGACAAACCGAAAGCUUUCCCAUAACUGUAGGAUUACAUCAAGGCUCAUCCUUAAGUCCUUACCUUUUUGCGUUGGUAAUGGAUGAGUUAACAGGACAUAUUCAAGAUGAUAUUCCUUGGUGUAUGCUAUUCGCAGACGAUAUAGUGUUGAUAGAUGAAACUCAGGAAGGGGUAAAUGCAAAGCUUAACCUUUGGAGAGAAGUGUUGGAAUCUAAAGGUCUUCGCCUAAGCCGAUCAAAGACAGAAUAUAUAUGGAGUGCAAGUUCAGUGCAAAUGGAGGCCAAAACGAGUUAGGGGUGAGGAUCGGAGAUCAAGAAAUACCAAAGAGCGACCGUUUUCGUUACCUAGGAUCUAUCUUGCAAAAAACGGAGAAUUAGAUGGAGAUCUCAACCAUAGAAUACAAGCUGGAUGGAUGAAGUGGAAGAGUGCAUCCGGCAUGUUAUGUGACCGCCGUAUGCCACUGAAGCUCAAGGGAAAAUUUUAUAGGACGGCAAUAAGGCCGGCGAUGCUGUAUGGCACAGAAUGUUGGGCGGUGAAACAUCAACACGUACACAAAAUGGGUGUAGUGGAGAUGAGGAUGCUUCGUUGGAUGUGUGGGCACACGAGAAAGGAUAAGAUUAGGAAUGAGGAUAUCCGGGGUAAAGUAGGAGUAGCCGAAAUUGAAGGAAAGAUGAGAGAAAAUCGGUUACGGUGGUUUGGACAUGUGCAAAGAAGGCCUACUGACGCUCCGAUUAGAAGAUGCGACUAUGGGACAGAGGUUCAGAGCCGAAGGGGUAGAGGAAGACCUAGGAAAACUUUGGAAGAGACUCUAAGAAAAGACUUAGAGUACUUGGAUCUAACGAAGGACAUGACACAGGAUCGAGCACAAUGGCGUUCUAAGAUUCAUAUAGCCGAUCCCACUCAGUGACUUGGAUUUUCCAAGUCUCCAACCGAGAAGUUUUCCUCACUCGGGAAAUUAAGGGAACACUACCCCAACCUACAUGCUCCACUCAGAAAGCUUCAACAUACAAGCUUCAACAAAAGAAAAUUCAAAGAACUUAGCGAAGAAGGCUUUGGUGUAUUUAACACAAUACGUUGAAAUGAAGGAAAGCUUAUUUAUUGAUAUCCCCGAUAAGCUACAAAUAUGUACAUAUACAUGAGUCAAAAUAAACACACAAGAGGGAGCCUUCACAAAGGUUGCUUAGGAGAAGUCUCAGUAGUCGGUAGAGCCCCAGAAAGAGAAGGCACCGGAGGGGGAUCAUUUGGAGCCUCAGUACUGGACAGAACCCUAGAAGGAGGAGGCAUCAGAGGUUGAUCAUUUGGAGCUUCAUUACGCGGUACAGCCCCCAGAAGACGAAGGCAAUAAAUGCCUUUGGAACAAACCCACAAAUCUCUGAUGAUCAAGUAAAACCUGACCAUCAGUUUCCUUCAUCUGGUCAAGCUUCCUCUUCAUGUUUGUAGCAUAGUCAUGUGCGAGCCGGUGCAACUGUUUAUUCUCAUGCUUGAGCCCUCUAAUCUCCUGUUUGAGACUCAUCACUUCAGCCGCCAAUGAUUCAACUUGGCGGGUUCGAGCAAAUAGGCGUUGGGCCAUAUUAGACACAGAACCUGCACACUGAACACUGAGAGCCAGCGAAUCCUUAACAGCUAACUCAUCAGACCGUUUGGAAAGUAGUCUGUUAUCUUUGGGAGUGAGAAGGUUCCUGGCCACCACCGCAGCGGUCAUAUCAUUCUUCAUCACGGAAUCCCCAACGGUAAGAGGACCAGUAAGGGAGACGAAGGAUGGGCGCCAUAUGUUGUCUGGAGAAGGCGGGGCUGCCUCUUCAACAAGGUUCAAGUCAAAACGACGGUCGGAGGGGCCAGACAUUUUCAAAGGUGUUGAAGAGAGAAGAGGUCGGACAAAUCAAGAUCUUAGAAGUGCAAGAAUGAAGCUUCUACUGGUGGAGAUUCAAGUGUGCUUUGGAACUUAAUGCCAGCCCCUAUAAAAAAUCUGCACUCGACGGAGCUUCAGAAAUCGAAGAGGCGCCUGCUCAGAAAUCGAAGAGGCGUUUGCUUUCUCAAAAGCUGGGCUGCUUAGAGAUCACGAGGGUUGAUCUCAGAAAUCGAAAAGGCGUUUGCUUUCUCAAAAGUUGGGCUGCUCAAAGACCUCGAAGGCUGAUCUCAGAAAUCGAAGAGGCGCUCGCUUUCUCAAAAGCUGGGCUCCCCAGAGACCACGAGGGCCGAUCUCAGAAAUCGAAGAGGCACCUACUUUUCCAGCCUUGUCAGCACCUGUCACACGCACACUCAGCUUUGCGGAAAUUAUGGGCAGUCUGUCGAAGACUUCUGGGGAAGUAGAAAACACAUGAAUCUUACUGUUCAAUCACCCACUUCCCACACGCAACAAUAGCUCAUGGGUACCACAGAUAACUUUGCCAAAGUUCUCUGCCAAAGUUGAGCACGUGAAGCUUGCAGCUCCCACUACAUCGCUCUGACCAAGAAGGGUAAAAGAAUAGCAAAGAAACAGCACUAACAAAGUUUAUACCCAUAAAUUUUGAAGGUCUAGCUACCAUAUUAUUACCCACAAGGGUAAAGGAAUAGUACCACUGCUGGAUAAUUGGAAAGUCCCUGUGUGUCAACCUCUGUGCUUCGUGGCAAGGUAGACUAGCAAACAUGCCCAACCUUUACUCACAUUCGAGAAAACACUCCCAAUAAGAUUGCUUGCUCCAAAAUCGAAGAGGCACCGUCCUCCGAAUCUCGAGAGCCAGACUCCCAACAUGACUACUUUCUUAAAAAUCGAAGAGAGGGUAAAGGAACAGUACCAUUGCUGGAUAAUUGGAAAGUCCCUGUUGCUUCGUGGCAAGGUAGACUAGCAAACAUGCCCAACCUUUACUCACAUUCGAGAAAAUACUCCUAACAAGAUUGCUUGCUCCAAAAUCGAAGAGGCACCGCCCUCCGAAUCUCGAGAGCCAGACUCCCAACAUGAUUACUUUCUCAAAAAUCGAAGAGACACUGCUCCCCGAAUCUUCGAGAGCCAGACCCCCAGCAUGAUUGCUUUCUCAAAAAUCGAUGAGGCAUCGUUCUCCGAAUCAAUCGAAGAGGCGCUCGCUUUCUCAAAAGCUGGGCUGCUUAGAGACCACGAGGGCCGAUCUCAGAAAUCGAAGAGGCACCUACUUUUCUAGCCUUGUCAGCACCUGUUACACGCACACUCAGCUUUGCAGAAAUUAUGGGCAUUCUGUCGAAGACUUCUGGUGAAGUAGAAAGCACAUGAAUCUUACUGUUCAAUCACCCACUUCCCACACGCAACAAUAGCUCAUGGGUACCACAGAUAAAUUUUGCCAAAGUUCUCUGCCAAAGUUGAGCACGUGAAGCUUGCAACUCCCACUACAUCGCUCUGACCAAGAAAGGUAAAAGAAUAGCAAAGAAACAGCACUAACAAAGUUUAGACACAUAAAAUUUUGAAGGUCUAGCUACCAUAUUAUUACCCACAAGGGUAAAGGAACAGUACCACUGCUGGAUAAUUGGAAAGUCCCUGUUUGUCAACCUAUGUGCUUCGUGGCAAGGUAGACUAGCAAACAUGCCCAACCUUUACUCACAUUCGAGAAAACACUCCCAACAAGAUUGCUUGCUCCAAAAUCGAAGAGACACCGUCCUCCGAAUCUCGAGAGCCAGACUCCCAACAUGACUACUUUCUCAAAAUCGAAGAGAGGGUAAAGGAACAGUACCAUUGCUGGAUAAUUGGAAAGUCCCUGUGUGUCAACCUUUGUGCUUCGUGGCAAGGUAGACUAGCAAACAUGCCCAACCUUUACUCACAUUCGAGACAACACUCCCAUCAGAUUGCUUGCUCCAAAAUCGAAGAGGCACCGCCCUCCGAAUCUCGAGAGCCAAACUCCCAACAUGAUUACUUUCUCAAAAAUCGAAGAGACACUGCUCUCCGAAUCUCGAGAGCCAGACCCCCAGCAUGAUUGCUUUCUCAAAAAUCGAAGAGGCAUCGUUCUCCGAAUCUCGAGAGCCAGAUACCACAGACCACUUUUUCAAAGUGCUCUGACAGAGUUAAAACAUGUGAAACUGGCAGCUCCCACUACCGUGCUAUGACCAAGCAGGGUAAAGGAAUAACAUUACUACUUCUUAGGGAGACUCCUAUAUAUGUCGACCUCCAUCCCCAACAGACAGGCAGACCUGCAAAAAUGCUCAACCCUUCAUCAUAUCUGAGAGGGCACUCCCAACGAAGCCUUUCGAAAUAUUCAGCUUUCCUUCCCCCCGAUAAUACCUCUGCAAACAAGCUAUACUAGAGCAAGAAUAUCUCAUAUCAUCAGGGUUAAAAGCAAGAGUAUCCCAUAUCAUGCUUUUUCCCUGUCUUUUCCUUUGGCCUUGUUUUUACCUGCAAGACAAGGAGAAAGAGAGCAAUCAGUCAGCACUUGGAAUCAAGCUUCCAGCCAGGAACUGACUGCCUGGAACCCCUUACCUGAUUACUUACCUGGCAUUGCUCUCGAGUACUCAUCUUCAACAUCUUAUAUUUCCAGGGAAGAUUCCGCAUCUGCUUGAGGAACAGAUAGGGCAAGUGCGAAGGAUACAAGGAAGCAUGUGGAGACAAGCGUACCAGCACACGUGCCGAUACAUCCAUUACGCUGUCAAAAGCAAAAGUAUCCCAUAUCAGCAGGGUGGAACGUACUCUAGAUUUGAUGGACUUGUUUUGACCCUCAAAUUCUUCAGUCGGCCUUAUACUCUGGAGGAAACCAGAAAACCCUCCAGCUCAGUUCAAGAAUAAGCCUGUGGAAAGUUACUUCUUCAAAAGCAAAAGUAUCUCAUAUCAUCUCUUCUCAUUUUUCUUCUCUUUAUCCUUCAUGCUGCUGCAAGAUGGGGAGAAGGUGAACAAUCAGUUAGAGCUCUGAUUGCUUACCUUGUCUGUCACCUCUUUCAGCAGACCCCCUAGCUCGGCGACUUGGGGGACUCCUACUACAUGGUUUGUAUCGCGCUUGACCAAGCCUGAAACUACAAGUAAGCUUCAAGUGAAAUUGAUACAUUACCUUGUGCAUCUCCACCAGUUAAAGAUACCACCCCUGGAUGGAGGAAGAGUACUUCCAGAGAAGAUGCCACAUCUACCUAUGAGACAGAUAAGGCAAGUCAAGACGACACCACACUCCGAUACUUAGAAGUUUCGUGAUUACGAGAUCAUUCUCCCACAAUAUUUCCUAAUGUCAUUUGUACUAAAUCAUUCACUUGUACUCACUAAAGGAGAGCUUGAACCUAUGUACUUGUGUAAACCCUUCACAAUUAAUGAGAACUCUUCUAUUCCGUGGACGUAGCCAAUCUGGGUGAACCACGUACAUCUUGUGUUUGCUUUCCUGUCUCUAUCCAUUUAUAUAUUUAUCCAUGCUAAUGACCGGAGCAAUCUAGCGAAGAUCACAAAAAGCGACCGUUUUCACUACCUAGGAUCUAUCUAGCAAGAGAACGGAGAAUUAGAUGGAGAUCUCAACCUCGUAGGCCACUGAAGCUCAAGGGAAAAUUUUAUAGGACGGCAAUAAGGCCAGCGAUGUUGUAUGACACAGAAUGUUGGGCGGUGAAGCAUCAACACGUACACAAAAUGGGUGUAGCGGAGAUGAGGAUGCUUCGUGGGAUGUGUGGGCACACGAGAAAGGAUAAGAUUGGGAAUGAGGAUAUCCGAGGUAAAGUAGGAGUAGCCGAAAUUGUAGGAAAGAUGAGAGAAAAUCGGCUCCGGUGAUUUGGACAUGUGCAAAGAAGGCCGAAUGACGCUCCGGUUCGAAGAUGUGACUACGGGACAGAGGUUCAGGGCCGAAGGGGUAGAGGAAGACCUAGGAAAACUUUGGAAGAGACUCUAAGAAAAGACAGUACUUGGAUCUAACGGAGGACAUGACACAAAACCGAGCGCAAUGGCGUUCUAGGAUUCAUAUAGCCGACCCCACUUAGUGGGAAAAGGCUUUGUUGUUGUUGUUGUUGUUGUUGUGCAGUGAAAGUGACUAAAAAUCAUUGUUCUAAAAAUCGGCGGCACUAGACGACUGGUCAUUACUCUAAUCAAUUUUUAGACGUUUGAAAAUUAAGAAAUGACGUUUAAACCUGUUUAGGCAUCUGUCCUGCCUAACCAACGUCGACCUAGCCUGCCUCGGUUGCAACUCUCACUUAUACAAAAAAUCGAUAACUUUCAUUUUGCAUUUUAUUUUUUCAAUAAAAUGUAAUAGACUUGUUGAAAACUCUAACGAACAUUCAUUAUAUAUUUAUUCCCAUGUUCUCAAUAUGUUUUAAGGAAAACUAACGAAAAAUCUAAAAAAACUUUAGUUUUAAUGAAAAAUAACAAAUAAAGGUGUAGUGAAUAGUACCACAGAAAGGUAAAAAUGUGGUUUUUCAUUAAAAGUGAAUAAUACCGAGAGUGUUUUGUUAAAACUCCCUAUGUUUUAAUACCAUAUAAUUUAUAGUUCAUUUUAUUUUUCAAUUUAUGUCUCCCAGUAAAAUUAGGUAUUUUUUUAUUUUUUUUGGCUAAAUAGCCAAAAUGGUCCCUGAGAUUUGCAUAAAUCAUCACUUUGGUCCCUAACAUUUCAAAUCAAUAAAAGUGGUCCUUGAGAUUGCCCAUCAUCCAUCAUUUUGGUCAUUCUCUUAAAAACUCCGUUAAGUGUCCCGGAACUCUUGACUGGAAGUUUGAGCAAUUUUCAAAGCUUCGUAACUCAAUCGUUUCUUAACUAAAUUUGACCCAUAAUAUAUCAAAAUGAAGAUAGGAAAGUGUAGAAUAAGAUUAUACCUAUUUGGAAGCCCAAUGGUUGCCAGAGAUGGCCGAAAAAUAUUCUCAAAGUUGACUGGUUUUAGGGAAAACUGGAAAACUCGUUGGAAACUGGGUAAAUUUUAAACGUUCAUAACUUCUUCAAUACUCAACAAAAUCAAGUGAUUCAAAAACUAAAAUCAUACUUCUCGACAAGAAGAAGAGAAUGGUACCUUUUUUGACUGCUAACUCGCCAUGGUUUGGCCGUAAAAUGGCUCGAAAGUGGAUGUCUUGGUCUAUAAGACAGCCACUUUCGAGCCGUUUUCCGGACAAACCAUGGUGAUUUAGCCAUCUAAAAAGGUACCAUUCUCUUCAUGUCAUUGAGAAUUAUGAUUUUAGUUUUUGAAUCACUUGAUUUAAAGUUUACCCAGUUUCUAGCGAGUUUUCCAGGUUUCCCUAGGACCAGUCAACUUUGAGGCUAUUUUUCGGCCAUGUCUGGCAACAAUUGGGCUUGAAAAUAGAUAUAAUCUUAUUCUACACUUUCCUAUCUUCAUUUUGAUUUAUUAUGGGUCGAAUUUGGUUAAGAAACGAUUGAGUUACGAAACUUUGAAAAUUGCCCAAACUUCCGGCCAAGAGCUCCAGGACAUUUAACGAAGUUUUUAAAGGAAGGACCAAAAUGAUGGAUGGUGGACAAUCUCAGGGACCACAUUUGUUGAUUUGAAAUGUUAGGGACCACAGUAAUGAGUUAUGCAAAUCUUAGGGACCAUUUUGGCUAUUUAGCCUUUUUUUUAAAAUCCACCUAAUCUACUCAGGCCCCCACCUAGGUCCCGCUCAACCGCCUAGGCGCUAGGCCCUAGCCUGCCGGCCGACUAGCACCUUGCGUCUUUUAGAAUCUUGCUAAAAAUUAUAAAGAAUUAGUAUAAGUUUACACAACGAAAGGAACAUAACAAAAAUGAAAGUAAAGAAAAUUUAGGAUGUAAUAAAUAAUAUCUUUUUGUGUGUGUGUGUGUGUAAUGUAUAGAUUAUAAGUAUACAUGUAUAACAACUAUGCGGUGAAUGAGAAUACGAACAUGGACAAAGGCGAAGUUUUAAAAGGCUGUGCAAUAUAAUGGAAUGACAUUGACUGGGUGUGGAUUUAUGAAGUCCUAAACGGAUGCUCUGUAGCUUUGGUUGUAGAAUCAUAAUAGCUUUGGUUGCAAAACCUGGAAUUGAUGUGAUUGUAGAAAGAUCUAAAUAUAUAUAAGGUGUGUUUUUUUUUUUAGAAAAAAAAAUGUUUGAUGAUGAAAGACUGUUUUCGUGAUAUGAGAAUAUACAUUUUUUUCAUUUCAUAUAUUUCGUUCACCGAGAUGACAUGAUUUGAUAGUAUGUUAUGUGUUUUUUUUUUUUUUUUUAAAGAUUUUGUUGCGAAUAUUUUACAGUAUAUGUUUUGAAUAAUUUUCAGGAAAGUAAACCUUAGAUUUGAAUGGUCUGUCGUUGCAGAAUUCCUCUUUAAAUCGUCUGUCGUUGAGACACUUUCAUUGCAAGGGCAACUGAGAAGCUUUCGGAGGCUGCUGCAGCUUACAUUGAGGUUCCUUCAUUGUGUUGUAUUUGGAUUUUGUUAUUUUAGAAAUAUCUUUUCAGGAAAAAAGAAAUUUGUUGUUUGUGCAUUUUUUUUUUCUGAACACGUUUUCGUCAUGUUUUCCUGGAAUGAGAAGGCACAGAAAAUUAAGGCAGGGAAGCAACAGCAGGUACAAAUGGAGCAGCUACAGCUAUUGGGGCAGCGCGGUAAAUUCUCAUAUCUGUUUCAUCAUGUCUUCCUCUCUUCAUUACAUUCCGAAUCUUCAAAAUCCUUACCGAUUCGUGUAAGUUCUAAUAUAUUUUUCUAUGUUUUUUUGAUUUUGGUUUCCAGGGUUACAAUCUCAAUCAACAAGAUGCAAAACGAGGAGGGAAUCAUCACCCAGCUCUAGAUCCCGAGAAAAUGGUAUUCAAUCGAAUCUAAUAUUGUGUUAUUAGGCAGCAACAUGUCUACAGGUUACAUCUCUAUUAUGUUAAAAUGAUUUUGUCUAUUGUUUUACAUUCAAUUAUUUACUGAAGUUUUUCUGUACUGAAUAUCAUCAUUGAUUUUAAACGAUUGUUAUUCCAUAGAAGCUUACUUUUCUUUGAUAUCAAGAUUUUCUGAUAAAAUGGUAAAAAGUUGACUUGCAUUUGACAAACAAUUGUCAUCAUUAUAGCAGUACAACGCUCAUCGACAUGAUCGUCCCAAUACAUUAUUUUUUUUGUUUUGUGCUUUGGCAAUUUGACUCAUCUUAUCUUGCCAAAAGAUGCAUGUGAGUUUUAAGGAUUCAGGGAUCCUCUUCUCUCCAGAUUACUGGAUCGGGCCUUACCUCCAUGUGUUGUUGAGUCUAUUGAAAGUUGGUAUGCAUGAGAAGUUUAAGUAAUACUUGCCAUAAAAAGUAGAAGUGAUGACUGACAAGGAAUUGAUUAUCUCAUCAGCAACUUCAUUUUUAUCUAAGAACGAAUUUGAUACAUGUAGAUGUAUAUAGGUUAAAUUGAUUGUUAAGAUGACAAUUUAAUCACUUUUCAAUAUCUUAUAUCUCCAUCUCCCAGUUCUGAUUUUUACUUACUUGAAAUAAAUAGAUUCUAGGAAUCUCAUUUAGCAAAAUAAGCAAUGGAUAGUGCAAACGGUUUUUUCUUACAUUCACAACAAUAUAGGCACUUCUAUUUUUUUAGCAAUAUAGUGCUUAGCUUAAAGUCAGAAUGUUAACCAAAUGUAUUCAAUUUGUUCGACUAACCAUUGUUCUAUUAAUAGUUCAUUUAAUCUAAGGUCAAAUGGGUAGAUCUUGCUCCAUAUACUGAGUUAGUAUAGGUUACCUAGAAGAGUGCCGCUAUGAAUGGUUGCUCUCGUGCGAUCGACUUUCAUACAUUAAUGCAUGGUGAAAUUGGCUUAAGGACUUACAAGUCAUUUGCUGUCAUGCACCGAUCUAGACAUACGGUCUACUGUAGGAGGUGCAAGGAAAAUAAUUGAAAUACUGAGACUAAAAUUAACAACAUUUGCAAUAACUCAGGUUCCAACAAGAAAGUUCAAAGGAAAUACAAGAUAAGAAAUAGGGAGCACUCCAAACUUUGAACUCUGACUCCUAACCCAAGAACUCCUCGCAUCAACUAAGCUUUGUCACCUGCACAAUUGCCCCUACACCAUGGGAAUGGUGCACCGGGUAAAGUAAAAACUCAAAUAAGUUGAGAAGUUCGUGUGAGGGACAAUAAUCCGACUUAUUUGGUAAUCAUAAAAUAUUUUUAUCGACCACAACUUAUACACAUCAAUCAUAAAAGCAUACUUUAUAAAUCAUAAUCAAAUCACUGAAAAUUCUGAAGAAGUCACGCAAACAUUCAUUGGCCUUUCUAAAUCAAAGGUCCUCGAAUUUCUGAUUCAUAAAUACAAUGAAAACUAUUGCUAGAGCGACACAGUUCUGCUGAAGACUACAUCUCCUAAUUUUUCACGUUCUAGAAUCAUUUCAAAAACCAACGAAGCCAAGAGAAGCGAUUUUGGGCUACUCAACGAAAUCCAAAGUACAUUGGGUUCUAGAUCAAUCAACGGAACCAAACGGAUACAAUUCCGAGCCACUCAACAGAAUCGUGAAGUAGAAGGGAUUACUGAUCACUCAACGGAAUCCGAACAGGAUACGAUUCCGGACCACUCAGCAGAAUCGUGAAGUACAAGGGAUUCUAAACCACUCAACAGAAUCCAAACGAAAACAUAUGGAUGGAUCUCAAACCACUCAGCAGAAUCAAUACAGAGCAGGGAACUAGACCACUCAACGGAACUCUAGCUAAACCUGAUUCUGGACCACUCAACGGAACCGAGCAUAAUCCAAGGAAACAGUUUCAAACGGCUCAAUGAAAUAAGACAUGACACUUUCAAUGCAACGAUUCCCCAUGUCAAUGGGGUUAUCAGUCCUCUACUAACCCUCAAGUUCAUAAACAUUUCAAAUAUGCAGGUCAAAUCACAUUUCAUGAAAAUAUAGAUCGAUGGAAAACUAUGAAAGCAAUAAUAUUUAGUAGAAAAACACAUUUAUAAAUUCAUGUCAUAUCCACAAAAUAUACUAACAUGAGGAUUUCAUGGGUAAUCACCAUAUUACAUAUAUUAAAGUCACUCACUUGAAGUCCGCACUACGGCUUCCUAGCACGCCACUUGUUUGAUAAAAUAACUGUGACCACUAUCUUGAACCGUCGUGCUCAGUAUCAGACAUACCUGCGAUUUGGGUAUUGCCAUUUGAGUGCUUCAGUAUCCAAAAAGUAGCUAUGAAGUAUGUUGAGUAUUAUUUGCUUCGAACAUCCUUCAAUUGUUCCCUUAGUUGUUGUUUUUUGGUUGUUUAUCAUAGACACAGUUGUUUUUUAGUUGUUUUUUGGUUGUUUAUCAUAGACACAGUUGUCUAUCAUAGACACAGUGGCUAUUAAGUUGAUUGUAUUGAUAUUUUCAGGUGAUGUGGAGAUGCGCUGGGUUGAUGCAUAUUUCCCAUUUACCGACCCAUCAUUUGAACUUGAGAUGUUUUUCAAUGUAUGCUACUGAGUUCGAUCACUUUGAGGGGAAAAAAAGCAUUUCAAGUCUCUCCUGUUAUGUCAUUCUGUUAGAGGUUCUUUCUUUUUCAUGGACGGUACCUAAGAGUAAUCCAUUAUGCAGAAGAAUGUAGUAUUUCCUUACUACGAACAAGUAAUAACUAACCAGAAUGGUACACACUCAAGUAAGACAAGAUAAAAAUUAGUGUACGGAAUAUUGAUUGUUGGAUAGAGACUAUCAUGAAACAAGUUUACUGCCACCAUGAUGCCUGUGGUCACUCAAGGUCAUGUGCAAGACUCGUUACAUUGCCUUGUAUAAGUGGCUCGCAAGUCCAGGGUGACAAUGAACCGUUCCACCUAAGUUAAGGUUAAGCACAAAGACAACAUAUCUCAUAACUAUGACAUCCAAAAUGUAGGGUUCAAGAUGAAGUUGAAAUUCAUAACAACAAAAGAGGUUCUUAGGAUGAUGCCCUUUAUGAGGGUGAUCAAAAUAACAAGUGGAGGACAUGGGCAUCAUUAAAUUUGCAGGCCUUUUUUCAUCUGCCUUCAAUAUUCAGAUUCAUGUUUGGUAGUAUUCGUGGUGAAAUACUCAGCUUCAACAACUACAUCCAUCCGGCUACUUUCUUAUUUUUCGACUUGAACUGAUCCUUGGAAAUUGAUUGCUUUCCCUAAAACAAAGACAGAAAAACAGAGAAGAAUAACACGCGUAUAAGUUAUGCAGAUGACAGACCUGAUGGAGCAGAAAGAAACUCACAACCAACAGAAAACUUGCUCACCUGGUGAAAAGGUGCAAUCAGCAGUUUCUCUACCGCGGAAAAUGACUACAUCAAUUAAAUGUUCGGUAUUAUUGAUCAACAUGAAAACACACACAUCACCGAUUUCCAGACCAUUGUCUUGCACAAAUGUCAUCCAGCCACUCUGGAAUUUCAGUACAGUUUUGCUAUAUUGGUGUAAUUUGACAGGCCAAGUUCUUCCACCCGAAACACGAAGAAUCACAUUAUCAUGAGUCCUGUUUAGAAGAUGUUCCCGGGCAAACUUAGCUUCCAAAUUCUGAAAUAGAAAGAGAAGCAGGUAAGACUAAAUUUUUGGAGUAUUUAGAACGUAAUUUUCUUUAGCUUAAUAGUUUUCAUUUCAUACUAGCAGAAGUUGUACAUGAUCUGUCUCUCUAGAAAGCUUACCAAAGUAUUUGCCUGGAUAUACGAGGGACGCAUAACAACCAUGCAACAAGGGUAUUCAGAUUUGAAAGCCCUUGCUCUCUGAAGAGCUCUAUUUGUUCCGCUUUCUGUAAGUGGAUUCAUCAUCCUAGGAACCUGAUUAGGUCUUCGUUUUACUAAUUCUUUAGUACAAGACGAGCCACCAAACUUCUUCAUGUGGUUUUCUGAAGUGCUAAUGGAACCUGCUCUGUUUUUCUUGUGAGGCUGUGUUGCAAUUGGUGAUUUUUUCUUUGUUUUCAGGCAUGGUGGAGAAUCGUCCAAGAUUUCAACACAACCAUCAUCUUCAUCAGUUUCUUCAGUUUCGGACAUUGUUUUUUCACCAUCAACGUCUGCAAGCACCCGCAAAAGAUUAAGGUGACAGGUAGUUAAUCUCUACGGCAAUUCCAUCAACUAAUCAGUUCAGAAAUUAAUAGACAACUUACCUUGUGACAGGUUCCAACGUGCAGCUUCUGUAGUGCGGAAAAUAACAACAUCCAUUAAACCUUUGAUGUUGUUAAUCAACGCAAAUACACACACAUCACCAAUUUCCAAAUGAUUGUCUUGCACAAAUGUAAUCCAACCAUUCUGGAGUCGGACCAUGUUUUUCUGACGUUUGCUUAAUUUGACAGGCCAAGUUCUUCCAUCCGAAACACGAAGGAUUACUUGAUGAUAAUUCCACUUAAGAAAGUGUUCCUUGGUAAACUUGGCUCCCAAAUACUGAAAAGAAAGAGAAUCAGGUAAUUUGGAGAGGAUUUGCGUUGUAAUUUGUUUGAGCUUAAUUUUCAGUUUGAAAACUAACACACACAUAUAUGUAGACAUAAAAUUAGCAGAACUUGUACAUUAUGUCUCUCUAUAAAAAGCUUACCACAUAAUGUGCAUGGAUAUACGAGGGACUCAUAACAACUGUGCAAGAAGGGUAUUCAGAUUUGAAAGCCUUUGCUCUCUGAAGGGCUCUAUUUGUACCAUGUGCCGUAACUGGGUUCAUCUUCCUAAGAACUUGAAGAGUUCUUCGGUUCAUUAUUUUUUUAGUCAAAGACGAGCCACCAAAUUUCUUUAUGCGGUUUUCUGCUGUGCUAACUGAACAUGUUCUGUUUUUCUUGUGAGGCUGUGGUGCUAUUGGUGAUUUCUUCUUUGUUUUCGGGCAUGUUGGAAAAUCGUCCAAGAUUUCAAUGGAAUCAUCAUCUUCAUCAGUUUCUUCCAUUUGGGACAUUGUUUGUUCCCCGUCAACAUCUGCGAGCACAUCACAAAAGAUGAACGUGAUGGAUUGUUAAUCUCUAUGGCACUUCCAUCAAUUAAUCAGUUCAGAAAUUAAAAGACAACGUACCUGGUGGUGAGAAUGUAUGUGCAGUUUCUGUGGCGCGAAAAAUGACAACUUCAAACUCAAGUUUAGUGUCAUCUAUCAACACAAGUACACACACAUCACCAACUUCCAAAUUAUUGCCUCUUACAAAUUCAGUCCAGCCAUACUGCAGUCUGAGUUUUGGUCUGGUUGCCUUUUCACAUUUCAUUUCAACAGACCAAGUUCCCCCAUCCAAAACCCGAAGGGUAAUGGCACCAGGAUGCUUACCGAGACGUCUCAUGUGGAUACACAAUUUUGAAGGCAGCCACUGAAAAUAAUCAAAUGAAGGAAAAGACGAUAAGCAAACAAAUUUGACGGUCCAUGAUGGUUGUCUAUAGAGAACUUACCACAGAAUAUCCAUUGAUAUAAGUGCGCUUCAUGGGAACUAUGAAAGAAGGGUUGUCAGAUUUGAAAGCUGUAGCUCUCCGAAGAGCUACAGCAGCUUUUCCUCUUGCAUUCGACGCAUGCAUCCUCCCAAGAACUGUUUGAGCUCGUUUUGGAGUGCUGGACGUGCCUUCACCGUGUCUUUUGGAUGCAAACUCAGCUUUGCAUGUCAAAGAACACAGUAGGAUAUUAAAAGUUAGAACAGAAUGGCAGAAAGCACAAUAAGGUAAAAAAUCGGAAGCUAAACAUAUGUUGCGUAUUAAUGUUUCAAUUUUUAUUUCUGAUUUUUAUUGACUUCUUAAACAUCAUUUCGUAAUGUAAUCAGAGUAUUUUUUUGGUUUCUGGUUUUACCUGUUGAACUUGUUCUGUGCUUCUUACGAGGCUGAGGACAUGACAAUGGAUAUUUGUCCCUUGUUUUUCUUGAGCGGGACAUGAUGUUGUCCAAGACUUCAACACAAUCAGAGUCGUCAUCAUCAUCCCAAGAACUAUUGUCGGAAUCAUCAUCUUCAUCGGUUUCUUCCAUCUCGGGCAUUGUCAAUGGAUAGUUGAUCUCUGUGAAAUCCUUGUCAAAUACACUAACGCGGAAUGUUGAAUUCCCUUCAUAUCCGAAAACUAACGAAUGACAGCAGUCUAGAGAGCAAAACUUCGAGAACUUUGGCCAACCCUCGCCGAACCAGACCUCACCCUCCCAUAUUCUGAGUUCUAUUUUCCACUCUGAACCAGUUGGAAGCUUAAGAAAUACUGGAUUCGAAAGAUCAUCUCCAUAUUUCCUAAAAAAUUUGUUUGGAAUCCUCUGCACAACACAGAAACUUGUCACCAAACUGUUCGUAUAGUGAAAACAAUUAUCUGAUUUUUGUGGCUAUGAAAUAUAUGGGUACAUUAACUGCAUCAAAUCCUAUUAAGUCAGACUCUUCAUUGUGAGAGGGGUUAAAUAAUUGAGAGUUUUAACAAAACACUUCCGGUACUGUUCAUUUUUAACGAAAAACCACAUUUAUACAUUUCCUGUACUAUUCAUUAUACCUUUAAAAAUGACUUUUCUUUAAAAGGGAAGUUUUCUUAGAUUUUUCGUUAGUUUUCCUUAAAUACUUUGGUGCCGUUUGAUAACCAUUUCAUUUUCAGCUUUCAGAAAACCAAAAACUAACAACUUAAAAGCUAAAUUUUGAGAACUAAAAAGAGUAAGGAAUGUUUGAUAAUCAUUUCGUUUUUUGUUUCAAACUAAUCUCCAAAAUCAAGCACGGACAUUAAAGAGAGAGAGAGAGAGAGAGAGAGAGAGAGAGAGAGAGAGAGAGAGGGAGGGAGGGAGAGAGGUACUCACAAGUUUGGUCUGUGUACAAAUAGACUUCGGAAUAACUACUAGGAAAUGGGGAGCUUUAAGAUGUGUUUUUGAAGAGAAGUCAUGAAUUUUCCGGUGAAAAGAAGCCAUUUUUUUGAAGUUCGUCAAAAGCUUGAAGAUCUGCUUCAAAGCUUUAAAGUUGUCAGCAGAUCACUCAGCCGAGCUCCAGUUUAUGGACUAGCAAGAAGAAGGUAGACUGGCAAACUAAUUAAGUGCUUGAAGAAUUAAAUGCUCAGUCCACCAACUCAAUCGUUAUUAAUUCAGUUCACAACUUAAUGCUUGUUCUUGAAGUCAUUGUAGUGCAGUGGUACAUGAAUGCAUUAAUGUGUCUGUACAUGUAUACUCUGACUCUAACUACCAAAUCCAAAUCCCUCAUAUUAAUGAGAAAUAUUAAUUGGGAACAGGAUUACUUAGGCGUCCUAGUACAAUAAUGUCUUACCAUACCCAAAUCCCCCAUUAUUAAUGAGAAAUAUUAAUUGGGAACAUGAUUACCACUACCGGGCGUCCUAAUUCAAUAAUUUCAUACCGAGCUUAAGUUUUUUCUAAGUUAUAACAGUAAAAAAAGAUAACCACUAAUUGUUUCCAAUCAAAAUGCCAAAUCUUAUGUGGCAUGACAUGAAAUGGCAGCAAAGAGACUUGCUGUCAAACUUCAAUUUUUUUUUACUAAUUAUUAAAUGUCUUUUAUUAAUAUUUUAAUGUCAUUUAUUAUUUGAUUGUUGAACGGUAGAGUUGGUUUAAAACACUACCUAUUUCUUCUUUUUUAAUCAACAAAUUUGUUUCAAUUUAAGCAGUUGAUUGUUGAACGGUAGAGUUCAUCUAAAACACUACCUAUUUCUUCUUUUUUUAAUCAGCAAAUUUGUUUUAAUAUAAGCAACAUUGCUGCUUUGUAAAAUACAGUGAUUCGUUCUUCAAUAGGUAUCCUUCGUUAUUUUGUGAACAUGCCCCAAAUUUUUUCAGACUCAUCUUCUAAUUCAACAUAUGAGCAUUUUUGGAGUAUUGUUAAUUCUGAAUUUGAUGAAUAACUGGAAAGGCUGGAAUUGGUUGCUUUACAAAAUGAACAAGAGAACAUGGAGACAUGAAUGAGAAAACGGCGUGGCUCCAUAAAAGGCAAUGCAUAUAUCAAUAGAAAGUAGUGCAGAAUAUGAUAGGCUAGAGUGCCAAUAGUGGCAACCUUUUAGAAAGAGUGCGGCUAUACACACUUGCCUAUUGUAUUUUUUUCACGAUCUUAUAGUUACAAAAUUUGUAAGCAGUUUUAGGCCCCGUUUGGGAUUGAGGUGAUUUUAAAAAAAGCCACUGUGAAAAAAAGCUGAUGGUCAUUUUUGUGUUUGGUAAACUGAAAAAAAAGGGGCUUAUUUUGGAAGCUGCUGUGAGAAUAAGCUGAAAAUCAAAGGAAAAGCUGAAGCUGCUAUUUGCUGCUUUGAAAAAAAGCCAUUUUUUUCAAAGCACACGGAGCUACAGUGCUCCUUUAAUGAAAAGACACACUAUCAUCCUGCUUUUUUUUUCAAAAGCACUUUCACAAAAAAGUUUACCAAACACUUUACUGGCUUUAUUUCACAGCCGCUUAUUCUAACAGCACAGCCGCUUAUUCUCACAGCAGCUUUUUUUCAAAGCACAGCAAUACCAAACCAGCCCUUAGUGCCCUUGCACUUGCCUUGCCCUUGUCCUCCAAAAAAUCACUUCCAACAGUCCGUUUGGUGAAGGGCAAUUGGUGGGCCAACACAUGCCUGUCCAAAAGCCCGAGUAGCUUGAGCUCGGCCUUGUGCUAGUGGUCAAGGUUGACGUCAACAUGGUGUCAGCCACAUUUUUUUUUUUGUGUGUUUGACGCGUGAUGAGAGAUAGUGGGCUGAUUGUUGCUACUGUCAUGGCCCCCAAGCUAUCAAAGCAACUCAGCUCCCCAACAGCUAUACACGUGGCAUUUAUGAGCAGUUGGAUUUGAAACGGUCUCAAGAUUCAAUAACUAAAAUUAAUCUUGUUCAAAAUUUUAUUUAAUAAUUUAAAAUUUUGAAUAAAGGUUUUAAAAAAUUAUAGAAAUUAAUGAAAAUUCAUAAAUAAAUAUAUUUAAAAAUACAAAAAUAUUAUAUAUUUUUCUAAAGACACCCAACCAUCUUCUUCACUACCAUAUCAAAAAUCUAACGCUUUCGCUAGUUAUUAAAUAACUUAAUUAUGCUUUAAAAUUAAAAAAAAAUACAUUUGUAAGUAUGAAUCGUCCUUGUCCUUACUUUUAGCUCAACGGGUGGACUUACACAAAGGUAAUCACUUUUCAAAAGGCAAUUUACAUGCCCUUACCCUUGCUUAGCCCUUGCCCUCUUAAGAGCAAGUCCACUGUUUGCCCAAGUGACAAGGCAAUUGGGUUGAAUUGCCUUUGGCUGCAAAAGGUGGUCCACUGGUGUAAAAAAUGGAGGGCAUUUGGACCAAGGGCUUGUGCUUUUUUAACUACAGGAGACGAUAGAGUGGGGCCCACCCGCGUGCACAACCCAGAGUCAAAUGACUUAUUUUUCCUCCAACUUGUGCCGUUAGAUUUCCAACAGUAAAAAAAAGUUGCAAAACUUUAUGCAGCUACCAAGUGGCGCAAUUUGGGGCAUCCAAUAUAAAUAAUUUUGAUUUUGAACGGUUAAAGAUUAUUCUAAAGGUAAGCAAAUUCAAAAAAUAAACCCAAAAACUAAAACAAAAAAACAAAAAAAAAAUACCCAAAUUUUUUUUUCUAUAAGUACCCAACCAUUAUCUUCAUUUCUUGUAUUUGAAAUAUAUUAUAGAAAUCAAACAAUCAUUUUAUUUUCAAUGGUGGGCUAAAAGCCAAAUUACCCCCCAAAAUUUCCCCUCAAACCCACUCCAACCCAAGGGGAAAAUUUGGGCUAAAUGCUAAAUGUUAAAUGCUAAACCAAUGCCAGAUUCCUCCAGAAAUUUAGCCCAGAAAUUUGAAUUUAAAAUUUUCAAUAUUUAUUGGAAUUUAAAAUUUUUUAGAUUAAAAUGUUCAUAAAAUUAAUUUACGAUAGUCUACAUAUUUAUUUAUUUUUUUAAAAUUUAAUUUAACAAAAAAAAUAGUCUAAGUUCAUUUUUUAAUAAUCUUAGGCUAAAAUUUUAGGCUAAAAAGGUUGGAGCAAAAAAGCUGUUUCUGGAUUAAAAGCUAAAUUUUUCGGAUUAAAAUAUUUGACUUUUAGCCCAACAUGGUCUCAUAAAACAAAUUCAUCAAAGCAUAAAAAAAAGUAAUAAAAAAUAAAAAAUAAAAUUUUGAAUACUGCCUUGCCCUUUUUGCUUUUCACAGACGGAUUGAUUUCCAAAAGGACAAUUACUAUUUUUAAAAAAAUGAGGAAAAUGACGAAAGGCUCAAUGGCAUUUGAACUUCCACGUUGCACCUGACAUGCGAAGCCACGUAAACUUUGCCCCUCUGAAAACUUUGCCUGCCCAUAUUCACAAAGAAGCCAUUCUCACAUCCCCAGCCCACCCCAGCCCACAUCCCAGACUAGCCGAAAGGGCAUCUCGUGUAAUUCCCAUGAACUUAAAGGUCAAGGUAAUUUUAGCUUUCACUAAAUAGUCACCCGGAUACGAAGGCUAAACUAACAGUUUGUCAUUCAUGGCGCUUCUGUUUCCCGGCGGUGGUUGGUGCGUACGACUACGAGUAGGCCACUCGUCGCGGCCGGCGCACGUUAGACCGAGCUUUGUUACCUUUGCUACAGUGUCCCCAAGGACCCCAGCCAAAGGCGACAGAGUGGACUGGGUGGAAGCAACUUCAGGCUUCUUUGAAAAUGACACGAGGCCCAUCAUGUUGUUCGACGGUAAUAACGAUUCAUUUUAGCACUUACCGUACUCGUCAUGCUACUUUGCGCUUGGUGUAGAAACAGUACUUUAUGGCUUGUGUAUUUGUUUAAGAAUCCAUCUUGUUUGUGUUGUGCAAUAUGGGAUUAGCUAAUUGAGACUGGCUUUCUAGGUUACAUAUUUGAUAUGUGAUAGGUCAACUUUUUUCUUUUCUUGAUAAAGAUUUAUUGUAAGCCAUUCUAAUUUGCGGGGAGCGGAAUUCAAACUUGGGUGCAACAGAGUGGGGACACUACACAGACUAACUGGUCUAACCUACGUCACGUCUGUAUAAUAAGUCACGUUUAGAAUAAGUUGCAAAGGAAAAUACAAAUAUAUUUUUGUCCAUCUUGUAGUUUUACUCCAUGGAAGAUAGUGAAUGAGGCUAGAACAUCAUAAUAUGUUACGUAUUUCUGUAAUUCUUAAUAUGGUUAUGUUCUAAACUACUAUGUUUUAGAGUUUAGUUGGAUUCGUUGGUGCAGAACGUGAGCACCAGGCGAAUUCUGCAGUUGUGUUACAGAUACAAUGAAAACUCAUGAUCGUUGAUUUUUUUACAGGUGUUUGUAACUUGUGUAAUGGAGGUGUAAAGUUCGUGCGGGAUAAUGAUCGAAAUAGGUUCGAUUCUCCUCUUCCUUUGAUUGUUUGUAGACUCUAUUAUGAUCAUCGUUAAGGCAACAAGAUUAUAUUUAGUAGGGAAAACAAUGAUCUCUUUUCUUCAUAUAUAUAAUCCUUAAGUUUGAAGAGUGCAAAUUAUUUGGUAUCUUAUGAGGUUUAUCUUCAAUCUUCUACUCGUGUUGUUAUUGUUUAAUCCACUUCUGACAGGAGCAUAAGGUUUGAAGCUCUCCAGAGUGAAGCAGGGAAGAAACUGCUCAGAAGGUCCGGAAGAGCUCCUGAUGAUAUUUCAAGUGUUGUUCUUGUUGAAAAGGAUAGGUAUAUACAAUGACCUCAUUGCUAAUCUGGAGCGGUUUUUAACAAUUAUCAAGGUUUUGAUGAAUGAUAACAUUUUUCUCGUUUACAUGAACUUUUCUCAUAUUAAUGACGUUCUCGUUAGUGUUAUGGUCUCUCAGUUUGACAAUACUAACCGAUAAUUUAUACGAGUAACAUUGAUAACUGACAUGGUGAAUUUGAGAAUUUCAGAUCAUUUAUCAAGUCAGAAGCUGUUGUGAAGAUAAUGGAAUAUAUAGACUUGCCCUUCCCCCAGCUAGCGUUUUUUGCACAGUUUAUACCUCUGUAAGUCAUCCCCUCUUUGUUCUUUAUAAUUUUUGCCUGUCAAGAUUCAAACUGAUGGACGAUGCCAUGGUAAUACACUAUGUCCAUAAUUGAUAAUUUUUUUUUCUUCUUCCGGAUGAAUGCAGUUUUGUAAGGGAUUUUCUAUACGACAAUGUAGCAAACAACCGUUACACAAUCUUUGGUCGCUCAGACACGUGUGAGAUAUAGGCAUUUGAAUACUUAAGUUUCCUACUGAAGGUAUGUAUAUUGUAAAGUACGGAUAUGAUGAAUUUUGAUUUUGUAAUGUAAGUUUGACUUCCAUUUUAAUAGAAUGAAAAUUUAUCUAAUUUGUUUUAAAAGUUUCUUACUAUAUAGCUUCAUAUUAACACGACGUCUAGAAGUACAGUUUGCAUGUGAAUUGGAGGCUAAGCUGCCUUCCUUCAACAGUCCUUGGGUUGAUUAAUCAAAAUGUAGAAAAAUUCUGAAACAGAAAUUACAGAACUCAUCUACAUUGCUACCUCGAUUAAAAUAUAACAUAGCAUUGCCUUCAUCUCCAUCUCCUUAUCCUAGAAGACUCCCUGCUGUCCUUGCUUAUAUUCCGUUCCUCUUCUGUAUGUGCUAAAAUCACUUUGUUAAUCCUGUUUUUGAGGUCAAGUGCACUACCAUGAACACCCGCAAGUGUGUUUUGAGUAUAUGAUCAUAUAUGUUUGUGGGGAUACCGUAUACGUAUUAAGUCAUUCUGACAGCCCUGUGUUACCAUCUUGAAAUUUAGCUUAAAACUCACUAUGCUCAUUCACAGACAAAAACAAUUUCUAGCAAAGACUUACCAACAAAAGUGUCAUAAUUUGUUAUUGAUAAGAAAGUAUGUAUGUGUGUGUGUGUGUAUAUAUAUAUUUGUAAUGUUUGAGCCUCAUGAACUUAUAAAGCGAUUAUUUAGCGUUUUUCUUAUAACAUGUCAAACCAUGUUCGAAAUGUAGUAGCUUCUAGUCUGGUUUGUGAGAUAUAUUCAUUUCGUACAUAUACAUACAUACAUUUACAUCUGAACAUUCACAAAUAUACAUCCGAAUGUCAGCAAGUUAAUUAGAUGCACUUUAGAUAUGCAUGUCUCUCUUUUUUCUGAUAUACGGAAGUAUAGUUUAUGGUGUGCCUUGUUUUUCCGUCGUGUAGAGGAGGUGGUGUUAUACCUGCAAUUCUUGAGUAGGCAGUUGAGCUCUCUAGAUUAUUCGUUUGAUUUCUAGAACUUAAGGUAGAUUUUUCAGUGCCGGAGGACCGUAUAGCUUACCAAAGCCGUAUGUGUAUCUGCAAUGGAUGAGAAAGGUGAAAUGUUAAUCAGGGACUGGAGGUUGCUUGAUUUUGAUUUGUAUUUAAUAGUAAAUUUCUGAAAGGAAAGAAUCAAAUUACUAACUUACCCAAGAACUAAGAAAACAAAAGCAGUGAUCCCUAGCACAUACUGAUAGAACUUGUGCCUAGAUUUACGUCUUCCCUCGUAGGUUGAUGGAAGGUGCCUGCUGCUUAUAUAACCAUACUGUGGACGAACUAGAAUAACAAAGCCAAGGAAAAAUCCUGCAAGGAAUCCUCCUAUAUGAGCUGAACUGUCCACUUUAGGUAUAAACCCAACAGCCAUAUUCACGGCAAUGACAACCAUGAGUAUCAGGAGCGCUGUGCACUGAAUAGCAAAGUUAGAUCUUAGACGUAUCCCUCAUCGAUUUGAGCCUCAGCAUUAAAAGCUGUUGUAUUUUAGAUGCCGGCAUAGCUGGGGUUCUUUAAAAGAAAAGAAAGGUUACCUUAUUCACGUAGAUUGUCCAGUUUAUUAGAAGCUCGGAAAGCAUGGCUCCCAGCAAUCCAAAAAGUGCUCCAGAUGCACCAACUGAGAUAGUUGGGCUUGCGGUUCUCAUGCGAUGUAGAGUCGAUCCUAAACUUCCUCCUAUUCCAGCAAGCAGAUACAGGAACCCUAUUCUGACUGCCAAAUCAAAACAGUUAAGAAUAGUUAGCAUGCAUUAAUCAUGUAAAAACCGAGUUGACAUCUCCUGAAUCUUAAGUUCUUACUAAAUCCGAAUUCCUGCUCAAGCCUUAUUCCUAUGAAUAGAAGGCUCAGCAUAUUGAAGAGCAAGUGAACGACUCCAGCAUGAAGCCACAUGCAAGACAAGAGGCGCCAUCCUUCGCCCCCUUCCACCACUAAUUGCAGUUCAAGGGCUCCUAGUUUCUUUAGACUGCAAACAUUAGCAAUUAGAUUAGGUUUUAACAUGACCGUUCAAGAAGUUAUAGCUUAACGUAUGCCUAGUUCAGUUAAGAAUGAUUUCCAAGUUGGCACAGCAAUCGGACACAUUUCCUUGUUUGACUUUGGGGUCCGAAAGACACUGCCUCCUGCAUUUUGGGGUAGCAUAGAUUCAUAGGAAGGGACAUUGUUGCUAAGACCUAGAGCAUUUUGGGGUAGCGUAGAUUCAUAGGAAGGGACAUUGUUGCUAAGACCUAGAGGACGGGAGAAUGCGACUACCCUGGAAUCUUAUGUUGGCUAUGGCGCUCGAUAGAUUAGGGUACUUAAGCAAGACAUAAGAAUCCGAAUAUCAAUUGGUGCUUAAGCAAGAGGUAAGAGCAAGUAUGCUAUACAGAACAAAACAUAGUAUUGAAGGUAUCUUCUUUGUUCAAAUUAAUCAUGUUUUAGUCUUAAUCGAAUUCUGUAAUUAGUUCUUGUUUCUGUAAUCCAAAACUAUCUCAAUUGCAGAAGAUUAGACGCAGGAGUUGAAUUAGUUUUAUGCAAGAAAACAAAAUAAAAAAUAAGAGACAAAAAGUAGAAAUCAUUGGGAGAGGUAGGAGGAGAUUCUUACGUAAGUGCGGCAGGACCAAGAAGAGGGUUUUCUCUGAAGGGUUGGAAAGAGAACCUCUUAAAGAAAGGAAAAAGACACUUUUCCCCUGUAGUUGGACAGUCAUUGACGUACAUCGUGUACACGAACAUGGCAACAUUGACGACAAACACGAUUGGCAUGAGCCACGGCACCCAUGGCUUAGGAGGAGGGGGGCACAAAUGGGGCGGGGGCAUGGAAUGCCGAGACUUUUGUCUCUUUUCGCGCCCCUUCUCCAUGUCUUCGGAGGAUGGCGGUCUCUCCCCCAUUUUUUCCGGCCACGGGGGGUGGUAGAGGAAGAGGAAGAGGAAGAGGUAGAGGCGCACACUGCACCGGCGCUUUUGGCAGAUGCUAAUGUGCACCACCAAGUUACAGGGAGGACUAAAAUGAGAGAUAUUGGCACUGGGUGGCAAGGAACGAGUUUGGCUAGGUUGGUAGUUAAGUUUGGUACUCUCCUUGAUUAUAGAUAUCUGGAAAUUACUUUAUGGCCCUGCUAUGUUAUGACCUCUAUUCUUUAACAAAAAAACAAACAGACAGAAAAAUAAAAAUUCAUUUUUUGCCAAAAAUAAAUAAGAUUGGUACUGUAUAAAAGGUUCAACUUAAUAACCAAUUCAAUGUUGAAAGUUGCUUUAGUUUAGUUUGCUAAUUAAGAAAAUAAACAUAGUUCGAGUUGGAAUUAGGACAUAUUAGUAACGAUCAAGACACGUAGGGAUAUAAUUAGGCAAUAACAUUAGGGGCUAUGAGUACUUUGGGGGCUCAACAGAAAUAAGUUAUCCCAUUGCAGAUUCCCUUGUUACAUUUAGAAACUGUGGUAGAAACACCAGCCUGUAGUAGUUUUGUAUUUGUUACAGGACUCAGCUAAUCAGCCAUUGCUUCUACACAGUGUUUAAAAUAUCGGUAUUAGUGGAAAUGUUGAACGCAAAUUUGUGGAAAUAUUGAUGCAUAAUCGAAUAUCAAUAUCGAUAUUGGUUGCUUUUAAUUGAAAUGAUGAAAUAUUAAAAUGAAACUUUAGCUACUGUCAAACAUUGGUUUUGACGAAAUAUACGAGUUUCUUCGAUAUUUAACAUAUAUGUAAGAAAUAUCCACGAUAUAUGUCGAUUUAGCCUAAACUUAAAAGAGUUUCUCCGAUAUGAGGUGAAGUUUAGGCUUCACCUCCAUUUCCAUAUCUUUCUCUAUUUUUUUCGAAUCCUUAUGAAAAUGAAUCUAGAACGAAAUCACGCUAAAACUAGGGCUUCACCCGUAAGUGGCGCGCUGUGUGGCCCGAGCAUAGUGAUAAGUGAGCAAGGGUCGUUGUAUCUCCAUCGACACCCGGAUGCAGUGUUAAAUGAGCAAGGGGGGCAUAGAAACUUCUUUUCG
rnacentral:lncRNA from 1 species